UACGGAGGGUGCGAGCGUUGUCCGGAAUCACUGGGCGUAAAGGGCGCGUAGGCGGCAUGCCAAGCGUGUGGGGAAAGCCCGGGGCUCAACCCCGGGUCGGCCGUGCGGACUGGCGUGCUCGAGCACUGUAGGGGCGGGUGGAAUUCCGGGUGUAGCGGUGAAAUGCGUAGAUAUCGAGAGGAACACCUGCGGCGAAGGCGGGUUGCUGGGCUGACACUGACGCUGACAGCGCGAAAGCUAGGGGAGCGAACGGG
rnacentral:rRNA from 1 species